CAGGUUGUGGCUUAGUGGUAGAGCACUUGCCUAGCAUGCGUGAGGCACUGGGUUCGAUCCCCGGCACCAUAU
rnacentral:tRNA from 1 species